CUACGGGUUGCACCAGUGAGGAAUUUUGCGCAAUGGGCGAAAGCCUGACGCAGCAACGCCGCGUGAGUGAUGAAGGCCUUCGGGUCGUAAAGCUCUGUCAAGUGGGAAGAACCUAUGUAAUGUUAAUAUCAUUAUAUACUGACGGUACCACUGAAGGAAGCACCGGCUAACUCCGUGCCAGCAGCCGCGGUAAUACGGGGGGUGCAGGCGUUAUUCGGAAUCAUUGGGCGUAAAGGGCACGUAGGCGGCCUGGUAAGUCAGAUGUGAAAGCCCGGGGCUUAACCCCGGAAGUGCAUUUGAUACUGUCAGGCUUGAGUAUGGGAGAGGGAAGUGGAAUUCCUGGUGUAGAGGUGAAAUUCGUAGAUAUCAGGAGGAACACCGGUGGCGAAGGCGACUUCCUGGACCAAUACUGACGCUGAGGUGCGAAGGCGUGGGUAGCAAACAGGAUUAGAUACCCCUGUAGUC
rnacentral:rRNA from 1 species